CCCAGGACCCCAGGAUCACAACCCCAGCCAAAGGCAGCAGCUCAACCACUGAGCCACCCAGGUACCAGCUUUCAUAACUGUUGACAUGUUUUGAGACAUGCGGACACAAGCAAGACAGUCUCUGGAGAAGAGCUAUCCUCCCCUUUCUGCAUGGAUUCAGCAGCUCAAACUAUCAGGAGGCAGCUCUGGAGGCAGAUCUGUUGCUGUCUCACAGGAGAAUGUGGAAAGAGUGGCACUCCUGUGUCACAUUCCAGUGCGUUAUUGGUCAUCAGGCAUCAUUUGAGGGAGAGAGUUAUCGACACGGGAGAAGAACAAAACUAGAUGCUCCAUGGCAUGUGCAACUAACCGAUGGGCUUGUGAACACAUGCCCACAAGAUUUUCUAGGAGCUGAAGGUCCUAUGGAGACAUGAAAUGACAAGAUGGAGCCAAGUUUGUGUCAGUUUCACCUAAAUUUAGCAAGUCCUAGGGAAGUUUAACCAGUAUGAACAUCGUUCCUCUAAGGACCCCUCUCAAACUCCAGCAAAGUGAGAAGAACAGGAGUUCUUCCUGUAUUGGCCAAGUGUCUCCAAUGUUGACUAGAGAAAUGUUUAUUUAACUGCUAAGAUGUCUAACUGUCCCUACAAAAAUAAGGAAGUAUAAAAGAUCCAAGUAUGGGAAGCUGAGGUCCUGCCAUAAAUAUUUACACAUGUAAAUAUUAUUACAUCAAUUCAUAGCAUCUCUUGAGACAAUGCAAGAUAUUUCAAUUGAACAAUUCUACAAUUAAAAAAAUGUUUAAAUUAGAUGUAAA